rnacentral:rRNA from 1 species
UACGAAGGGGGCGAGCGUUGUUCGGAUUUACUGGGCGUAAAGGGCGCGUAGGCGGCCGAUCAAGUCAGGCGUGAAAGCCCCGGGCUUAACCUGGGAAUGGCAUUGGAAACUGGCGAGCUUGAGUGCGGCAGAGGGGGGUGGAAUUCCGCGUGUAGCAGUGAAAUGCGUAGAGAUGCGGAGGAACACCGAUGGCGAAGGCAGCCCCCUGGGUCGACACUGACGCUCAGGCACGAAAGCGUGGGGAGCAAACAGG